GUCUGAGUUUUUUUAUUUGAUAUGAAUAACAUGUAAAUUAGUUGGCUGCCUGCAUGAAAGCUAUUUUUUUUAUUUUUAUUUUUUUGGCAGUUUGUUUUGAAAAAAAAAAUUGAAAUAGAAAGCCUCAGUUUCUCAGAUGGGAAGAUAAUCUGAACUUCCAGGAACCAAUCUGCUCUUUAAUGCGACAGAAGGUAUAUGCUGAAUUAUUGAACAGAAGCCAUGCUAAUGUAUUGUUUUGAUAUGCAAUGACAGUCCCUUUACUUAAUAAAACUUCAGAAAAAAUGGCUUUUCAGUUAUACCAGCUCUUCAAAAUUAGUGCAAUGUCAAUAAGUUUUUUAUUUUCAAAUAGUUUGGACUUGGCCACCAUGGAUCACAUCUGUUGCGUUAUAAUUGGUACUUUUGGUAUAACUCCCAGGUAACCUCCAUCUUGGAAUGUGGCAUUCCUUUGUUUUUUUAUAUGUGUAAAUGAAUAUGAUAACAAGCUUUCAAGUGACUCAGACUACAAAUGUUAUGUCAGAACUGAUAAAUCUAUGAAUGGCAUUAAUAACACAAGUUUCAGAGAAGAAAAAAAAAAAAGGAAGUAUUUUGUUGCUGAACAUUUUGGUUGGAUGCCAUAGCAUUGAAUUACAUAACUUCAGACAAAUAACAUAAAUGAGUCAUACUGUUUAAUAUCUGGAUUUUUACUUUUAUUGUAAAACAAAAACUGAAACCAAUAAUCUUAAAUCUCAAAAUUCCAUUAAUUUGCUUAAACUAAUGGAGAAAAGAUUACUGUUUAUUGUAAAAUACUGCAGUUGGCUUCAAUGGAGAUGAAAAUAUUUUGAAUAAUAAUGAGGAAUAUUAAUUGAAAUAUCCACUACUGGGGGUCCUAUGCUUGACAGGCUCUUAAAAGUCACAUUAAGAUAUCCCUUAAUUUUGAGCUCUAUAAACAAGAAAUAAAUUUAUUUUAAACAAGUUGAAGCUUAUGCCACCAUAAAAUUAGGAAUGUUAAGGUAAAUCCUCUGAUUCAUUUUGAUAUGUUAACGUACAUUUACACUGACAGAGUCAAGAUAGAUGCAGAAUAUUUUUUUUUUACCCAACAUACAUGGUUGUUUGUGAAACCAGGGCAUAUUUAGGGGAAUUCAUUUUGAAAAGAGCUUGAUAUGCCAAUUUGAAAGGCCACCAUAACUGAAACAUAGAAUAGUAUAUC
rnacentral:lncRNA from 1 species